GAUCGCAGUUCGCGAUCGAAGUGUCGCAGGGAAGCCGUUAAGCUCGCCGCCUGGGGAGUACGGUCGCAAGGCUGAAUCGUAGGAAGCUACUUCUUUCUACGCAGUUCACUUAAAGGAAUUGGCGGGGGAGCACCACAAGGGGUGAAGCCUGCGGUUCAAUUGGAGUCAACGCCAGGAAACUUACCAGGAGCGACAGCAGUAUGAGAGUCAGGCUGAAGACUUUACUUGACGAGCUGAGAGGAGGUGCAUGGCCGUCGCCAGCUCGUGCCGUGAGGCGUCCUGUUAAGUCAGGCAACGAGCGAGACCCUUGCCGAUAAUUGCUAGCCGUGGUAGCAAUACCGCGGAGGCUAGUUAUCGGGACUGCCGCUGCUAAAGCGGAGGAAGGAGAGGGCCACGGCAGGUCAGUAUGCCCCGAAACUCCUGGGCCACACGCGGGCUGCAAUGGUAGGGACAGUGGGUCCCGACCUCGACAGAGGGAGGCAAUCCUCAAACCCUACCCCAGUUGUGACUGAGGGCUGCAACCCGCCCUCAUGAAUAUGGAAUCCCUAGUAACCGCGUGUCAUCACCGCGCGGUGAAUACGUCCCUGCUCCUUGCACACACCGCCCGUCGCUUCACCCGAGUUGGGUCUAGGCGAGGCCGGCUCUUGUUGGGCCGAUCGAACCUAGGUUCGGCAAGGGGGGAGAAGUCGUAACAAGGUGGCUGUAGGGGAACCUGCAGCCGGAUCACCUCCU
rnacentral:rRNA from 1 species